rnacentral:rRNA from 1 species
CCUACGGGAGGCAGCAGUAGGGAAUAUUGCUCAAUGGGGGAAACCCUGAAGCAGCAACGCCGCGUGGAGGAUGAAGGUUCUAGGAUUGGAAACCCCUUUUGGUAGAGAAGAGAAGGACGGUAGCGAACGAAUAAGGACGGGCUAACUCCGUGCCAGCAGCCGCGGUAAUACGGAGGGUGCAAGCGUUACUCGGAAUCACGGGGCGUCAAGAGCGCGUAGGCGGGCUAGCAAGUCAGAUGGGAAAUCCUAUGUCUUAACCAUAGAACUGCCUUUUAAACUGUUAUUCUAGAGUCUGGGCGCGGUAGGUGGAAUUCUUGGUGUAGCGGUCAAAUCCGUAGAUCUCACGCGGACUCCUCAUUGCGAAGGCGACCUGCUAGCCCCUCCCUGCCGCUGCUGCGCGAACGCGUGGGGAGCAAACAGGAUUAGCUACCCUGGUAGUC